CACACACACACACAGACAAGCGCACACACCUUCCAGCAAACUCGAGCGCGAUGACGUAACUGAGUGAAUGGGCGUGCGGCGUGUCAGCUAAUUUCCAUGACGCAGUAGAUUUCGGUGACCUUGCCGUCUGAUGAUGAAAUCAGCUUUGAAGAACCCCCACAGCGUCCGUCUGACUCACGCAGGAUGCAGGUGGAGAAGAUCGAACAGGGUCUGGUGUAACUCAGAACUUUAAGUGUCACUUCCUUCUGAAAACAUCACGUUACCGGCGACUGAAUGUGAAGUUCAGUAAAAUAAAUAUUAUUUUACUCUUUCUUUUUGUCCUUAUAAAAGAAAAGCUACCACUGAAAUGUUUUGAUGAACAUGCUCACAGACGGAUUGUAGUAAUGAGGUAGCUCUUCAGUAAUGUUCUGGUGAUACAGUAUAUCUGGUAUAUAGUGGUACUGAAACAGCAGUGUUUUCAAGCUGUGAGGAAACACCCUGACACGUGAGAAGCAGGAAGGCAGUAUGUCUGGUGUAAUAUCUGUGUGUGUGUGUGUGUAUGUGUGUGUAUGUAUGUGUGUGUGUGUGUGUGUGUGUGUGUAUGUGUGUGUGUGUAUGUGUGUGUAUGUGUGUGUAAAAUUGUGUACAAGCUCUUUAUAUAAUGAAUAGAAUUCAUUACAUCAUGAUUUCUCAGAUAUAGAACAAGAAGGUAUCUACAUGCAGAUUUAAAUAGCCGUCCACCCUUAUACACUUCAUAUUAUUAUAACGUUUAUUUUUUUACACAAAUGUUUUAUACAUCUGUUUUAGGCACUAUAUUUCCCACUGUUGUUGUUUUCGAAUCAUGCCUGCAAGGAGCAUUGUAACUCUGAAAGGACAGAAGCUCAGUCAUGUUUGAAGGAGUGUAGAACUCGAUGCUGGUUCUGCGUGCACUGUGUUUAAAUAAAGCUCAGGCGUUUCACCCCUA